AGAGUUUGAUCCUGGCUCAGAAUGAACGCUGGCGGCGUGCUUAACAUAUGCAAGUCGAACGAGAAAGCCGGAAGCUUGCUUUUGGCGAGUAAAGUGGCGCACGGGUGAGUAACGCGUGGGUAAUCUACCUUUGAAUCUGGGAUAACACUUCGAAAGGAGUGCUAAUACCGGAUAACAUCUUUUUCAUUGCGGUGGAGAAGAUCAAAGAUGGCCUCUUCUUGAAAGCUAUUGUUUGAAGAUGAGCCCGCGUACCAUUAGCUUGUUGGUGGGGUAAUGGCCUACCAAGGCGACGAUGGUUAGCUGGUCUGAGAGGAUGAUCAGCCACACUGGAACUGGAACACGGUCCAGACUCCUACGGGAGGCAGCAGUGAGGAAUUUUGCGCAAUGGGGGAAACCCUGACGCAGCAACGCCGCGUGAGUGAUGAAGGCUUUCGGGUCGUAAAGCUCUGUCAAGUGGGAAGAAGUUGUGUAUGGCUAAUAUCUGUGCACAUUGACGGUACCACUGAAGGAAGCACCGGCUAACUCCGUGCCAGCCGCCGCGGU
rnacentral:rRNA from 1 species